UACGGAGGAGGCAAGCGUUAUCCGGAAUUAUUGGGCGUAAAGCGUCCGUAGGUGGUUUAUCAAGUCUGUUGUUAAAGAGUGGGGCUUAACCUCAUAAAGGCAAUGGAAACUGAUGGACUUGAGUGCGGUAGGGGUAGAGGGAAUUCCCAGUGUAGCGGUGAAAUGCGUAGAUAUUGGGAAGAACACCGGUGGCGAAAGCGCUCUACUGGACCUGCACUGACACUGAGGGACGAAAGCUAGGGGAGCGAAAGGG
rnacentral:rRNA from 1 species